GAUGAACGCUGGCGGCGUGCCUAUUACAUGCAAGUCGAGCGAACAGACGAGGAGCUUGCUCCUCUGACGUUAGCGGCGGACGGGUGAGUAACACGUGGAUAACCUACCUAUAAGACUGGGAUAACUUCGGGAAACCGGAGCUAAUACCGGAUAAUAUAUUGAACCGCAUGGUUCAAUAGUGAAAGACGGUUUUGCUGUCACUUAUAGAUGGAUCCGCGCCGCAUUAGCUAGUUGGUAAGGUAACGGCUUACCAAGGCAACGAUGCGUAGCCGACCUGAGAGGGCGAUCGGCCACACUGGAACUGAGACACGGUCCAGACUCCUACGGGAGGCAGCAGUAGGGAAUCUUCCGCAAUGGGCGAAAGCCUGACGGAGCAACGCCGCGUGAGUGAUGAAGGUCUUCGGAUCGUAAAACUCUGUUAUUAGGGAAGAACAAAUGUGUAAGUAACUAUGCACGUCUUGACGGUACCUAAUCAGAAAGCCACGGCUAACUACGUG
rnacentral:rRNA from 1 species